rnacentral:rRNA from 1 species
UCAGAUUGAACGCUGGCGGCAGGCCUAACACAUGCAAGUCGAACGGUAACAGGAAACAGCUUGCUGNUUCGCUGACGAGUGGCGGACGGGUGAGUAAUGUCUGGGAAACUGCCUGAUGGAGGGGGAUAACUACUGGAAACGGUAGCUAAUACCGCAUAACGUCGCAAGACCAAAGAGGGGGACCUUCGGGCCUCUUGCCAUCGGAUGUGCCCAGAUGGGAUUAGCUAGUAGGUGGGGUAACGGCUCACCUAGGCGACGAUCCCUAGCUGGUCUGAGAGGAUGACCAGCCACACUGGAACUGAGACACGGUCCAGACUCCUACGGGAGGCAGCAGUGGGGAAUAUUGCACAAUGGGNNCAAGCCUGAUGCAGCCAUGCCGCGUGUAUGAAGAAGGCCUUCGGGUUGUAAAGUACUUUCAGCGGGGAGGAAGGGAGUAAAGUUAAUACCUUUGCUCAUUGACGUUACCCGCAGAAGAA